rnacentral:lncRNA from 1 species
CAAGGCCCCCCCUCACAACAAACAGUAUUUUGGCCUUCUGAGGGUGGGUCGUGCUGACUGCAGUGCAGAGAGCAAACGGUACAGGUGAUGAGGAUGGUGAUUGCUUUAGGAAGAGAAGUUCUCAGAUAGCAUAGGGCAAAUUUGGAAACUAUUUCUCAUAGGGAAGUGGCCCAAACAUGGCCUCGUUUCAAUCAGACCUUCUAAGAUCUCAAAUAAAUGGAAUGAUGGGUCUCAGAAAGGGAUUUAGAACCUACAAGCUCAGUGUCUUCUGUGUAGCAGUGGUCAGAGUCGAGUCCUUCAGAGGAAAGUACAGACAGUUCUGGGACCACCUGCCCCCACAGGAAGCCUGUCCCUAUUUCCCAUCAUUUCUCAUUGGCCUUCAAACUGAAGCGUAAGACUGUAUCCCUUGAAAAUGUCUAUUCUGGCAAACAAUCACAGAAAGUGUUUUCAUCAUUCCUGCAUUCUUUUAACAGUCCUGCUAAGGUUUAAGCCUUGAGAAUAGCACGUGGCCUACAGGCUGGUGUCUGGCGGUACACCUUCCUUCCCUUAGCACUGCACUUACAGUUUCCCUGUCCCUGGUGUAUUUUCCUCAUGACGUGUUCUUUCACUCCAUCUUCAGUCUUACCUGGAUGUGUGAAGGUCAAUCCAGGAAUGCUGUUCAUUCACUUUUGGGAAGAGCUCUCCAAGGUUUCUGUAUGGUUCACCCCAAACUGGUGAAUUCACAACCUGGCUGUAGCAAACACAUCUUCCAAGUCCUUCCUGCAGGCUUUUUGGUUGGUUAGCAGCCCUCAGUUUUUGAGGUAUGCCUUCAUUUUGGCUUCAGCAUCCAAUUCUCUUCUCACUAAGGCUCAUGUGACACAGACGCAACUCAGGUGAAGUUACUGCAGCUUUUCAGUGCUGUCCAUACAAGCAGUCAGGCUCCUGGCCGCAUAUCUCUGUAUGCACCAUAAAUCUUAUCCUAGCAAUUGAAGUAUCUCUGCUUCCUUGACAUGUAGGCUCCUUCCUCUUUAGUACAGGGGUUAGUUCAGACACAUGCUUUUGUGCUGUCUCUCUUGACCUUUCCCAUCUGCUUUAAUUGCAGCCCCCAGAAGUAUUUCCCUAGAAGGCUGAAUGCAGAAAAAAGGCAAGCAUGUGUCAGGUCCAUUCAAGGUUGACCACCAGAGCACCCUCAGCAGACAGAUUGCUUCAAAAUCUUCAGGUAAGACUAUGCAUUCUUCUAGAAACUUCUCCAGAAACAGUACAAGAGACUUUCCCCUUCCCCCCUAAACCUCACUGGAGUGUUAGAUGUCUUUCUGUCUCUGUUGAUCCCUUUAAAAAAUCCUGAGGUUUGGCUUCAUUUCACUCGUACAGCGCUCAGCUGACAUUGUUCUCAGCUGUAGUUUUAAAAUGCUCAGUAUUCCAUUUUCUAAAAAGGUACUUUAAAAAGAAGGCUCCCUUUUCCCCUCAAUUUUAUCUUUCUUUGAACAACAACAACAACAACAAAAAUCCAUCUCAGAACCUCAAGUGCUGGGAAAGAGUUGAGUGGGAGGGCUUCUUGCGGUGUGAAUUGUCACAGGUGACUAAAAUUAAGCUGACCAGGGAGGUAACUAGCUAAUCUAACAAUUCCUAUGUGGCUGGUGGUACGUGGCGUGUUUCUGCAUGGCAGGAGUCGGAGCAGUCACACGGUCUGGAACGCUCGGCUCUGGGCAGGCACCAUGACCAGCGUGGCUCCCAUCUUCAUCAGGUUGGCGUAGUCGACUUUCUUUGGCUCUGUUUCCUUCCCUCCCAUCUCCCUCUGGCUGUACUGUGGGGGAGUCAGAUGGGGAGUAGCUUCGGUUGACAAAGUCCGCUGGCUGCGAGAGGCACUGUUGGCUGUCGACCUGGUUGAGGAGGAACCCGAGCGUGAGCUCCUGGAACCAGAGGAUGAGGAGCUGGGCUUGACAAGAUGGGCUUUGGGUGCCUCUGCGUCUUCUCUGAUUUCAUUCGGGGCCUCCUCUUCCUCAUACCUCUUCUUUUCUUUCCUUCUUAUUGUCAGCCUCACCACCAGGAACAGGAGGCAGAGUCCCACCACAACCCCACAAACUGCUCCAGCAAUCAUGCCAAUAUUUUGGGCAUGCUGCACUGUCACCCGAACAACACAGCUCUCUUGUCCGGCCUCAUUGGUGGCCAUACAUUGGUACAACCCUGUACUCAUCUGAGUGAGGUUCUUCAGUAAGACUUGACCCGGAUUAGAAAUGUCUGAAACAGGAGAAACAAUACUCAGUUUAAUCAAAGAAGACUAAGAAUGGAUGGAUGGAACGUAAAAACGAGCUCUGAACUUGCAGAUCAAAUCAGUUCAAGAUCAGCGAUAACUCAGGAAGGACCAUCUGUCAAUCUUUUGCAAAACAUGAGACCUUGUGGACUUCCUUGCUCAGGGUGGAGCACAGUACAGCAUCCUGCUGUAGCCAAGUUCUGGUAAAGCACUGCUCUCGCUGCCAGCACGCAGUUACAAAGCGGACACACAGUGUGCCUGUGGGUGGUUAUCUGGCUUUCGGCACAUGGAGAGCUCUAAGAGGAAGUGACUUACUGACUCUCGAUGUAGGUGGGAGAUGUUCAGCUUUCUCAUCUUCCUCGUUUAUGCGCUGCCACCGGUAGGAGAUGGGCGCAGUGCCAGAGGAAGAACGGCACUGCAGGGACAGGUCUUUCCCUUCUGACAGCUCUCCUUCCAGCCAGCACUUGGGCUUGGA